CUAAGAUAGUAAGAGCAUACGGUGGAUGCCUUGGCGAUAUCUGCCGAUGAAGGACGCGACAAGCUGCGAAAAGCUGCGGAGAGGUGCAAAUGACCAUUGACCCGCAGAUCUCCGAAUGGAGCAAUCCGGCAGGGUUUAUCCCCUGUCACCCAUAUCUUCGAAUAUGGGAGGGAACCGGGCGAACUGAAACAUCUAAGUAGCCCGAGGAAGAGUAAUCAAACGAGAUACCCCAAGUAGCGGCGAGCGAACGGGGCCUAAGCCCAAACCGGUGAAGGAAACUUUGCCGGGGUUGAGGACUGCCAUACGAACUAGCCCAUUAGCCGAAAUUCCUGGGAAGGAAUGCCGAAGAAUGUGAAAGCCAUGUAAGCGAAAAUGGAAAAGGGACAGGCAGCACCAGAGUACCGCGGGACACGAGAAACCCCGUGGGAAGCCGGGGGGACCACCCUCCAAGGCAAAACACAGAUAUCGACCGAUAGCGCAUAGUACCAUGAGGGAAAGGUGAAAAGCACCCCGGGAGGGGAAUGAAACAGAACCUGAAACCGUAUGUUUACAAGCAGUCGAAGACCGCUUAAUAAUAAGGUCAACGGCGUGCCUAUUGAAGAAUGAACCGGCGAGUUAUGAGGUCCAGCAAGGUUAAGCAGGAAAUGCGGAGCCGAAGCGAAAGCGAGUCUUAAUAGGGCGACAAGUUGGAUUGCAUAGACCCGAAACCACAGUGAUCUACCCAUGUCCAGGCUGAAGCACAGGUAAAAAUGUGUGGAGGGCCGAACCUAUAUCCGUUGAAAAGGGUUAGGAUGAGGUGUGGGUAGGGGUGAAAUUCCAAUCGAACGUGGAGAUAGCUGGUUCUCCCCGAAAUAGCUUUAGGGCUAGCCUCGAGGUAGAGAUUGCAGGCGGUAGAGCACUGAUCAGGAGAGGGGCCUACCCGGCUACCAAACCCAGUCAAACUACGAAUGGCUGCAAUUAUACUCGGGAGUCAGACUACGACUUAUAAGGGCCGUGGUCAAAAGGGAAACAGCCCAGAUCAUCAGCUAAGGUCCCAAAUGCCGUGCUAAGUGGCGAAGGAUGUGGCGUUUCAUAAACAACCAGGAUGUUGGCUCAGAAGCAGCCACCAUUUAAAGAGUGCGUAAUAGCUCACUGGUCGAGAGACGCUGCGCCGAAAAUGUCCGGGGCUCAAGCACGGAACCGAAGCUAUGGCAUUGACUAUGUCAAUGGGUAGGGGAGCGUUCUUAACAGGAAGAAGCAUGACCGGAAGGACAUGUGGACCGUUAAGAAGUGAGAAUGCCGGUAUGAGUAUCGAAAAGAAAGGUGAGAAUCCUUUCCACCGAAAGCCCGAGGGUUCCUGAGCAACGAUCGUCGUCUCAGGGUAAGUCGGGACCUAAGCCGAGGCGGAGACGCAUAGGCGAUGGACAACAGGUUGAAAUUCCUGUACCGGAUACAAUCGUUUGAACGAUGGAGCGACGCAGAAAGGCAUAUGAUCGCGCGACUGGAAGAGCGCGUCCAAGUGCGUAUGUUGAAUCGGAGGCAAAUCCCUGAUUCUGAAAGCAGAGACACGAUGGGGAGUUAUACGAAAGUAUGACGAACUCAUAGAUCCUACACUGCCAAGAAAAACUUCUAGUGAGAAAGUAUCCGCCCGUACCGUAAACCGACACAGGUAGGCGGGGAGAGAAUCCUAAGGUGCGCGGGAAAACCCUCGUUAAGGAACUCGGCAAAUUGCAUCCGUAACUUAGGGAGAAGGAUGACCUUAAGUAAGCGAAAGGGAGAAACCCCUGGAACAGAACAAGGUGGCAGAAAAGAGGCCCAAGCAACUGUUUACCAAAAACACAGGUGCCUGCGAAAGCGAAAGCUGAAGUAUAGGUGCUGACGCCUGCCCGGUGCUGGAAGGUUAAGGAGAGAUGUCAGAGCAAUCGAAGCAUUGAACUGAAGCCCCAGUGAACGGCGGCCGUAACUAUAACGGUCCUAAGGUAGCGAAAUUCCUUGUCGGGUAAGUUCCGACCCGCAUGAAAGGCGUAAUGAUUUGGGCACUGUCUCAACGAGGGGCCCGGUGAAAUUGAAAUACCUGUGAAGAUGCAGGUUACCCGCGACUGGACAGAAAGACCCCAUGGAGCUUCACUGCAGCUUGAGAUUGAAUCUCGGUGAUGCAUGCACAGGAUAGGUGGGAGACUUUGAAGUAUGGGCUUUGGCUUAUACUGAGUCGAUGUUGGGAUACCACCCUUGUAUUGCUGAGAUUCUAACACGGAGGCUAACAACCUCGUGGACCAUCUCAGGUAGGCGGUUUGACUGGGGCGGUCGCCUCCGAAAGAGUAA
rnacentral:rRNA from 1 species